UAGACGCUUAAUCUUCAAUCUUGAUAUGAACAAACGUACUGCACCAAGCGUGGGUGGAAGGGUAAUCAUCAGCACGCAAACAACUUUACUUUUAGUAACCUUAAGUGAGAAUUUAGCAGUCACAUUCAAACGGCGGCGAUAGUAGCAAGCCGAAGCGUCCUAAAAACGGAUAAAGUGCUCGCGUAUUUCCAAAACGAAUGAGAAACGUUUUCGAAAGUUGUGUUUCGGUCAAAUUUGAAAUUUUGUGCGAACAAAGGACGUAUAAAUGGUACACAUUACGAGACGUUGCAGUUAUUAUCUUGCAAUUGAGUAAAUCGCCAGCGUCUUCCAUCCAAUUGUUGUCGUGACGUCACGUCAUUUCCGGCACUAUAUUAAGGGGGAACAUGUGGGCAGUGUUCCCCUGGAUAAUCGUGCUCGCAACCAUAAUAUCGGCACGCCAAACGCCCCAGAUCGCGUCGGGACAGCCCUGUCCCGGCCCGCCCGACAAGGGUCCUUGUAACAGAUCGAUCUUCAAAUGGGCCUACGAUUCCGAAAGGAAAUCGUGCGUCAUGUUCGUUUGGGGCGGCUGUGCCGGAAACGACAAGAAUCGAUUCGAUACCGAAGUGCUGUGCAUGCGGUACUGUGCAGGGCCGAACUUUUUGGAUUCGUCUGAAGAAACUAGCGAGCCGGCAGUUCCAUUGCAAAAUCGUGGACCUAGACUGACGUUUCAAGAGACGGGUGAGGGGAAUACGUUCAUGUUCGCCCAGUCGAAUACUUUUAUACAAAUUGAUGGGGAUGUUAUUCAAACCUUCCAGUUGAGAUUGUGCAGGCAGAUUUCGUUCCAGUUUCGUACACGCUUACCACACGGACUGUUAGUCUACCAUAAUGUGAAAGUGCCAACGGGGGUGGCGCUGCAACCUUACGCCCUGUACAUUAUAGUUCAGCAAGGAGAGCUGAAAGUCGUGCACGUUUAUGGCAAGGCUUCUACUGCGCUAACAGUUGGAAGAGGUCUAAAUAGGGAUGAAUGGCAUUCCGUUACGGUGAAGAUCGACGUUCAUGGGGCGAGGUUGAUGGCAACCGUCGAUGAUCUUAAAGAAGAAACUCAAAUUAAGGGCUUGGACAAAGAAAACAAUUACGGUGUUUCGGCUAAUUUAACUUCAGUUGUCCUUAUUGGAGGUUUGAGUUCCGAAGAACGUCUCCACGGGGUGAAAUAUAUAAUCGAGUCAUUCGUCGGUUGCAUCAAAGACGUCAUUCUCAGCACAGGCAAAUCCGCAUCGGAGCUGCUUCCAAUUUCUCCCCUAAUUGCGACCAAACACGAAAACGUCCAGGAGGGAUGCACUGACAAGUGCGCGACCGAAGAAAACUUAUGCUUCCAAGGAUCGCGCUGCAUUAACCAUUACAAUACUUUGACGUGCGACUGCUUCGGCACUCACUACGAAGGAGAAUUCUGUGAUAUUUACACUGCCACGAUACUAACACUUCGAGGAUCGUCCUACGUUUCGUACCGUAUCUACGAUUGGAAGGACAGAGUGCACUCGUCUGUAAAUAGAUUUUCAAUGAUGUUCAAGACAAACUUCGACGAUUCGGCUUUAUUCUACGCGGCCGGUGGAGAUCAAGGUAUAAAUCAUUACAUCGCCGCUUCCGUUUACAAUAACUCAGUCUACGUUAAUAUGGAUUUUGGCAAUGAACCUCUAAGCGCGGUCUUGGGGCAAGACGCCAACUUAAAAGACUGGAACAACUUCACAAUUUACCACUCCUACAACAAAGUAAUUCUGGCCCUCAACCACGAAAGGAUCGUAAUCAACAUAACUGAAAAUUCAUUUUUGUACAUCGACCCGGAGAUCUACAUUGCUGGCGGGCCGGAAUUGAAGAAGAAGAAAGGCUUGAUGUCGAGCAAUAACUUCGCUGGCUGCAUCAAGUACGUGUUCUACAAUGAAAUAUCGAUCAUUUACGAGUUGAAGAAGAUGAAUCCUAAGGUGCACUACAUUGGAAUCUUACAACCGGAGUACUACGAGGCCGACGUGGAGGUGAUUCCAAUCACGUACCCCUUUUCCGGCUCGCAUUUUUGGUGGCCGAACAAUCACACGGAUAGUUUAUCGUUAGUGUUCGACUUUAAGAGCCAAUCGAACUUGAGCGUGCUGGCGUCGAGCGAAACCAAGACCGGAUUUUACUGGGAGGUCCGGGUGGUUAACGACGAGGUGCGCUUCGAACUGACCGAUUCCAACAGAAACACAACCGAUCUGGUAACGGUAAAGAAAAUGCGCGGAAUUUGGCACACCUUAGAGCUGACCUAUCACGAGUCGGAGGUGAGCCUGAGCGUCGAUAACAAAGUGAAACAAGAAAAUUUGGGAAACUUUAAGUUUUCGGUUGGUGAUAAAAUUAAGUUGGGAAGCGGGUCGAAGAACAACGCAGGCUUAGUGGGCUGUAUUCGUAAUGUCGUUAUCAAUGGCAUGAAUAUUGAACCUCGAGCUGUUCUUCAAACUGAAAGGGUGGUUGGUGAGGUCACUUUGGACGAUUGCAAAUUUGUUGAUCCGUGCCAUCGGCCCAAUACCUGCGAACACAAGGGCAAAUGCGCUGUCAAAGAAGAUCGACUCACCUGUGACUGCACCGGUACCGGCUACAUGGGGCGAAACUGUCAUUUUGCCAAGUACCGGAAGACUUGUGAAGAACUGGCUUUGCUCGGCUAUACCAAGCCGGACGUAUACCUGAUCGACAUCGACGGAAACGGACGCUUUCCACCAGCACACGUCCGCUGCGAGUUUCAAAGUUUGGAGGACUCUACUAAAACAAUUGUGGAGCACAAUCUUCCCAGUCAAAUAGACGUCCGGUCACCGUCAGAGAAAGAUUUCAGCUUUAGCAUUACAUACAGGGAGUUUACAGCCGACAUGCUACAAGAGUUAGUGUCCCACUCAUUGAACUGCAGCCAGUAUAUCAAGUACGACUGCUUCAAAGCACCCUUAGAUCUCCACUCGUCGACUCGCUUCAUAAGCUCGGCCAAUGAGACCGUCGAUUUCAUUGGGGAUGAGAAGCGAGGUACUUGCCCGUGCUCAGUUGGGAGAAAGUGUGAGAAUCCGACCCAGUGGUGCAAUUGCGAUUCGGAAGAUGACAAGUGGAAUUCCGACGAUGGUUACUAUACAAGAGGAUCGAGCUUGGGUAUCACCGAAAUGAUUUUCCUUCAGCAGCCAGAUCUACCCGAAGACGCACUAGGACGUAUAACUCUGGGGCCGUUGGAAUGCGUCGAGACCAACACCCAACGGUUCGUUGUCACUUUCACCACAAGUCAGUCAUACAUCGAAGUACCGGGUUGGCGCAAGGGCGAUCUUGCGUUUUCGUUCCGAACUACCGGGAAAAAGGCCAUUCUGCUCUACCAACCACCAAUUCGUCCAAAGUAUCCCAGUUUCAUGGUCGCGUUAACAAGCGAUUACCAGCUCACAUUCAAUUUCACUCUGAACACGGGCGUAUCCAAAGAACUCGUAAUCAUAUCCAACCGGAUCUUAAACGGGGGAGAAUGGCACAAGUUAUGGAUCGAUUAUAACAAGUACCAUGUGCGAUUUAUGAUUAACGAAGAUUACCAAAUGGUCGAUCUGAAACCCGAGGAAGAGUUUGGACCGUUUGAAGGGUCCAUGUUUAUCGGCGGAGCCCCAUUCGACCUGCUGAAUCCCAAGUCAUCCGUUCACCAAGGGCUAAUCGGGUGCUUCCGAGGUUUAGUGGUUAACGAGGAGAUUUUAGAUAUUUACAGCUACAUGAGCGUACACUUAAGCGAAAUUAUCAAGGAUUGCAAACCUUCUUGCGUGCCGAAUCCUUGCAAAAAUGGAGCACAGUGCAGGGAACUGUGGAGUACCUUCGAAUGCAUAUGCCCAAACCCAUGGGCGUACACUGGGGUGCAUUGCGAGAGCAACAUUAACACCAACGCAUUAACGUUUACGAGCCCAGAAUCGUUUAUAAAGUAUAACUACGUGGGGGUCGAACAAAUUGAGGAGAAGCAAAUUUUUCAAAAAAUCUUUGACGAGCCCUUACUAAUCAACUUACGUAGUUACGACACCAAAUCGCUAGUUCUGUACGCCAAUGAUCACCUGAACAAUUUCAUCCACAUUUAUCUGGAUAAUGGAACGGAGGUUAUCUACCUGUUCAACUAUGGAAACGAAAUACACAAUAUCACGGUGAGCAACGCCGAGCUGAACACGAGCACGUCAAUUCAGAUAGCGAUCGAGAGGAACGAGGGCAAUACAACGUUACACGUAAAUGAGAACAGCACAACCAUUAGCAUUGGCGUUUCAUUGUUGGAGCAGUACUCCCCUAAGCCUUGGAUCAAUCCAGAUAAGGAAGUUCUUGCACCGCAACGUCCUCCUGCCCCUCCCACAGAAUACUUCCAGCUCAACCUGGGGGGUUACGAGUUGGAAAGUCUGUUAUCCGCCGCCGAUAAUCCCAAAAGCUUUCCAGGCUACGUCGGUUGCAUGCGCGGUUUCCAAAUCGGCAAUGUGCUGAUCAACCUAACCGAAAAGGCGAGCAGCAACGAGGAUAAAGGGGUGAUCCCGAACUGCGACAUGAAAUGCGACGCGCUACCCUGCAAGCACGAGGGCGUGUGCAUAGAAGACUUUCGCAAGCAGGAGCACACCUGCAAUUGCGAACACACGAGCUACUAUGGCGAGUUCUGCUCGGACGAGAAGGGGGCCGACUUCAGCGGCGAGUCGAACUUGUGGAGGGAAUACGUGCUGAACGGUUCCGUGGAUCACGUAAAGGUACAAUUGGCCUUCUCAAGCAUGGACGUAAGGCACAAGAACACUGUACUAAUUCUGCUUCAAACCGAGAACAAUCGUAGCUAUUACCUCUUAGUGGGCCUCACGCCCGAGGGUUUCCUAAUUGUGCAGGAAGACCGAGAGGGUGCAGUUUUCAGUACGACGGUUCAAAGUAAAACUUUUAUUAACGGAGCGAGACAUUCGGUGUAUUACAGGCGAGAUGAAGACGAUUAUGAACUGCUGGUGGAUCGUGAGUUGAUACCAAUGCAACAGAUCCCUGCCCAGACGUUUACUAACGUACCCGAGGUUGGCGCUAAUGAGGUUCAAAUAGGCGGACACAAUACCACUGAUCCUCGGUUCGCGAUUUACAAGGGAUACAGUGGCUGCUUGUCAAAUAUAUUCAUAGAAGUAAACGAGCACGUUAUGAAGCCGCUCGAAGAAUACAUGCUAUUUACGAAAACCGGCUCGGAAAAGGUAAACGUUUCGAAUUCGCAUGGCGUACGAAGUGCCCAGUGCAGCCCAUAUUUCGACAUACCUCACAAAGUACCAGCGGGACCCACAAACUUAAACAUCAGCCAGGGCAAAGACAAAACUUGGGUCGAGGACGCACCGCAACGGAUUUUAUACCAGUCGCAUUCGUCCGUUGCGUCCGUCCAAGAGGAGGGCGUCGGGCAGAUAAUCGUAAUCACCUUGUCGACGUUCUUCGUGAUCAUACUGAUAUGCUGCGCCUACGAGCUGUAUCGCACUGACAAACAGUACAGGCGAAGAAAGGAAAUGGAGACGGACGCUGGUAUUAUUUGGUCGAAGGAGCAGGCCGCCAAAUUACAGGAGCAGUCGCAAGAUUUCGAUGGGGAACCGUCCAAGGUUUCCCAAAACGGAAAGCUACCAACGCGUAAUAACGGAAACUCGAACGGAAACUCGACUGUCACACUUGUUCGUAUAGAAAUAUCGGAUAACGAUAAAAAGGUGGUGGACAGGCGUGUUGGAUUUAAAGAUGGUCACAAUCCGGAGGAAGCAAUUGAGCUGUUAGACACUAUGCCAGAAAUCAACGAAGAGGAGGAGGAGGAGGAAGAAGACGACUGUCAGCAGCAGGAUAAACUCUGGUAUUUAGGUUUUACGAUAUAACGCAGCUGGAGCACGCUUGAGCAACCCCACUGCCACACAAUACUGACGAAAAUCAAAACGCGGCACAGACGCACCACCAUCACUGUGUGUAAGGUUUUGGGAUCUUUUCAUCACAGUAGAUUCUCCAAGACUAGUAUAGCUAACUUUGUAUUAAUAGGUGACUAAUGGAUCAAUCCGCGUUUCUCCUAGCUCAACCUCAACACCUAAUGACACCGAAGAAUUAAAAAGACUUCUAGCCGUAACGCUAGCGCCAAUUUUCCUAAACGAGGGGAAACGCACCUACUCUAAUCCCA